ensembl:snRNA U1 U1 spliceosomal RNA
GAAUGUGCCUCCCUGAUACCAUUAUCAUGAAGGUGGUUUUCCCAGGGUGAGGCUCAUUCAUUGCACUCUGGAUGUGCUGACUCCUAUGAUUUCCCCAAAUGUGGGAAACUCAACUGCAUAAUUUGUGGUAGAAGGGGACAGUGUUCGCGCUUUCCCCAG